GACCCUCCCUCCCAGACCCUCCCACCUCCUGGACAGCUCACUAAGAAUGCAGCUUCACAAUGAAUGUAAAAUGGAUGCUGUCAGGGGGUGGGAGGGUCUGGGAGGGAGGGUC